rnacentral:rRNA from 1 species
GAUGAACGCUGGCGGCGUGCCUAAUACAUGCAAGUCGAGCGAACAGACGAGGAGCUUGCUCCUCUGACGUUAGCGGCGGACGGGUGAGUAACACGUGGAUAACCUACCUAUAAGACUGGGAUAACUUCGGGAAACCGGAGCUAAUACCGGAUAAUAUAUUGAACCGCAUGGUUCAAUAGUGAAAGACGGUUUUGCUGUCACUUAUAGAUGGAUCCGCGCCGCAUUAGCUAGUUGGUAAGGUAACGGCUUACCAAGGCAACGAUGCGUAGCCGACCUGAGAGGGUGAUCGGCCACAAUGGAACUGAGACACGGUCCAGACUCCUACGGGAGGCAGCAGUAGGGAAUCUUCCGCAAUGGGCGAAAGCCCGACGGAGCAACGCCGCGUGAGUGAUGAAGGUCUUCGGAUCGUAAAACUCUGUUAUUAGGGAAGAACAAAUGUGUAAGUAACUAUGCACGUCUUGACGGUACCUAAUCAGAAAGCCACGGCUAACUACGUG